GAUGAACGCUGGCGGCGUGCCUAAUACAUGCAAGUCGAGCGAACGGACGAGAAGCUUGCUUCUCUGAUGUUAGCGGCGGACGGGUGAGUAACACGUGGAUAACCUACCUAUAAGACUGGGAUAACUUCGGGAAACCGUAGCUAAUACCGGAUAAUAUUUUGAACCGCAUGGUUCAAAAGUGAAAGACGGUCUUGCUGUCACUUAUAGAUGGAUCCGCGCUGCAUUAGCUAGUUGGUAAGGUAACGGCUUACCAAGGCAACGAUGCAUAGCCGACCUGAGAGGGUUGUCGGCCACACUGGAACUGAGACACGGUCCAGACUCCUACGGGAGGCAGCCGUAGGGAAUCUUCCGCAAUGGGCGAAAGCCUUACGGAGCAACGCCGCGUGAGUGAUGAAGGUCUUCGGAUCGUAAAACUCUGUUAUUAGGGAAGAACAUAUGUGUAAGUAACUGUGCACAUCUUGACGGUACCUAAUCCGAAAGCCACGGCUAACUUCGUG
rnacentral:rRNA from 1 species